UACGUAGGGUGCAAGCGUUUAAUCGGAAUUACUGGGCGUAAAGCGUGCGCAGGCGGUUUUGUAAGUUUGUCGUGAAAGCCCCGGGCUCAACCUGGGAAUUGCGAUGAAGACUGCAAGGCUUGAAUCUGGCAGAGGGGGGGUAGAAUUCCACGUGUAGCAGUGAAAUGCGUAGAGAUGUGGAGGAACACCGAUGGCGAAGGCAGCCCCCCUGGACCUGUACUGACGCUCAUGCACGAAAGCGUGGGGAGCAAACAGG
rnacentral:rRNA from 1 species